rnacentral:rRNA from 1 species
UUCCAGACUCCUACGGGAGGCAGCAGUGGGGAAUAUUGCACAAUGGGGGGAACCCUGAUGCGGCAAUGCCGCGUGAAGGAUGAAGGUUUUCGGAUUGUAAACUUCUUUUGUACGGGACGAAGAAAGUGACGGUACCGUAAGAAUAAGCCACGGCUAACUACGUGCCAGCAGCCGCGGUAAUACGUAGGUGGCAAGCGUUAUCCGGAUUUACUGGGUGUAAAGGGCGAGUAGGCGGGAUUGCAAGUCAGAUGUGAAAACUAUGGGCUCAACCGAUAGAGUGCAUUUGAAACUGCAGUUCUUGAGUGAUGGAGAGGCAGGCGGAAUUCCCGGUGUAGCGGUGGAAUGCGCAGAUAUCGGGAAGAACACCGAUGGCGAAGGCAGCUCUCUGGGCCGUCACUGACGCUGAGGCGCGAAAGCUGGGGGAGCGAACAGGAUUAGAUACCCGCGUAA